rnacentral:rRNA from 1 species
AACGAACGCUGGCGGCGUGUUUAAGACAUGCAAGUCGCACGGAGUCAUUGAUGUAGCAAUGCCUUGAUGGCUCAGUGGCGCACGGGUGAGUAACACGUGCAUUACAUGCCCUUGAGAGGGGGAUAGCCCAGGGAAACUUGGAUUAAUACCCCAUGGUCUCGCAAGAGUAAACGGUGGCCGCAAGGCCGUCGCUCAAGGCUUGGUUCGCGCCCUAUCAGCUUGUUGGCGGGGUAACGGCCCACCAAGGCUACGACGGGUACCUGGUCUGAGAGGACGAUCAGGCACACUGGAACUGAGACACGGUCCAGACACCUACGGGUGGCAGCAGUCGAGAAUAAUUCACAAUGGGGGCAACCCUGAUGGUGCAACGCCGCGUGGAGGAUGAAGGUCUUCGGAUUGUAAACUCCUGUCAUCCGGGAGCAAGACCUGGCCGUGAAUAGCGGACAGGGUUGAUAGUACCGGAAGAGGAAGGGACGGCUAACUUCGUGCCAGCCGCCGCGGUAA